CUUUCACGGGUUUACUGGGGUGUUGUUCUGCCCCACAUGCCAUUGACACCCUAAAAAAAUAAGUAAUUUUUUGUUCCAUUUGACUAGUCAGCCUAAUAAUACAAAUAUCACCCCUACUAGAUAUUUUCUAAUUAUUACUUCUUCUCCCUACCUGUUUUUUGUAUUAAAGCAAUGAGAUUUGUUUCAGGGAACACUGGCUCUGACCUGAGACAGAAUACUACAGAAUGGGUCAGGUUAGAAGAGAUCACCGUAGAUCGUCUGGUCCAACCUCCCUGUUCAAGCAGGGUUGUUCUGGAUCACAUUGCACAGGAUUGCAUCCAGACAGUUCUUGAACAUCUCCAGUGAGAGAUGUUCACAGCUUCUCUGGGUAAUCUGUUCCAGAUUAAAUGAAACUACUUUAGCUAACAAAUUUCUUUUCCUGCCCCCAUGUAUUUCCCUGCUCUGAGCAAGCCAAGAAGAAAACCGGCUCCUUCUCCUCUUCCUGCCAUAGCCCCUCCUUAUGCUGCAGCUUCCUGUGAAUCCUGGGGAUUUAGUGUGUUGCUUGCCAUCAGGCAACCUGCACAGCAUUUGCCAGCAUUAGCUUCAGACAGGUGAAGUCACUUUAAAUUUCUGGUGGUUCUUUGGCAGCAUCAUGACACUGCCAUACCUACACCCCUCCAUGGUCCUAGCAGAUGUCCUGGACACAGCUGCUUCCCCAGAAAUAUCAAAUGCAGGAGGAGAUAGUGUGCUUUCCAUGACCCACCCAGACAUCAGGAGACACCUACUUGCAACAGAAUGUGCAAAGGCACAGCAAUUACCAUUAUUUUUGGUGCUAGUUGAGUCAGAAAACAUACUACUAACUUUCAGAACUGCAGCUGAAGUGAGAGCUCAUUAAAUGGAACCACUAAUGGCAGUAGCUUGAGGGACAGGACUGUGCAAGCAUCCCAGCACUGCCCUUCUGGAGCAUCGGGCUCUGCCUUACAGCAAACCCCAAAAACUCCUGGGGCUUCUUUGGGGCCAGGACACUGGCAGCACACUAGUGCCUGCCUGGCAAGUCCAAAUGGGAUGGAGAACUCAUCUGAGAUGUAAUUUUUCAUACUUAGACUAAGCCUGGCUAGCAAUCCUUGUCAAAGCUGAAACAGGCAUAUCUGAGACUGCAAACGAUGGAGUUUUCCCUGCAUGUGCAUGUUUAGAAAAUCUGCUGCAACUGAUCUCUAAAUGCUGGGCAAGUACACUGGGAUGGGUACAGAGCGAGCAUGCAGCCCUAAGACCAUUGUUGCACACAGGAGAGUAGCAGGGGGAUCUUAGGCCCAAAGGAUGGGGACUGCUCACUUGUGUGAAGGGAACAAGGUCAUAUAAGCAGAUCAGCUUUGAUACAGCAUGAAAUCCCUCCUCAUCCUGCUUUAACCAAAAUGUAGAUGGGCUUCAGUUCCUAUGCUUCAUGAUGAGGAAAACAACUUUCCAAAUACACCCCUUUAUCUCUUUAAAAAACCACCACCAACAACAAAAUCCCCUUUUUUCAAACAGCUUUUAGCUAUUCACUAGCAAACAGAGAGUUAAAAAACCCUGGGAGCAUGACAGGGAAGAGCUGUACAUCCUCUCUUCAGUGGUUUGGGCAGGAAGUAUAAUAGAAGGCUCAAUAAUUUCUUUGAAAAAAUAUGACAGGAAACUUUCAUUUUCAUAUCCCAUUCACAGAUAAUGAAAAUGUACCAAAGAGAAGGAAAAUCUGACAGCAUUAAUGAGAGGACAUUCUUGAAAAUUGGAAACAAUGGGAAGGAAUGGGCAGAGAGACAGAAAUAAUUAUCAUAGCAGCAGUGUUUGCUGCACUGUUAUUAAGGUCAACAAUUGCAAUAUUGUAACUGCACCAUGGAGAGCCAGCACACCAGGAAGGAUUCAGUCCAGCAGCUCAGAGAGCAGCCCAACCACCUAAAAAUGAGUCUUUCUGCCACAGUAAAAGCCAAUACUAAGAAACACAGCAUACUGGAAGUUGCUAGAGAAGACUGCUUUUCAAAGAGUUGGGUUUUAAGCUAGCAAUCCUUGAGCUACCUUGCACAGCACCAGGUUUUUGCAAAAAAACAGCUUCUCUGGUUGCUUGUCAGUGAGAACCCUUUGCACUAGCCGUGAUUUGGAUCUUUGAUGCUUCUUCAAGCAAGUAGCAGUUCCGAUGCUAUGCCUUGGGUGCAGGAAGACUGGAGCUUCAUCCCAAACUCUGAAUGACUUUGUCAUUUUACAUUUUUCUAUGCUCUGGUUUUCUUUCUCAUAGUUGGGAGAGGAAAGGAAAAGACCUCUAAGCAGGCUCUGGGCUUUGGGCUGAGGCUUUCUGUGUGCCUUGGGGAAGCUCCAGCAAGUAUCUUCCCACAGGUUAACAGCAGCAGGAGGGGGACCCAUGAAGAGCUCUGCCAUAGCCCUGCAGCACUGCAUGACCACAAGCAAGUCAUCUCCCUCCCAUGCUUUCCUUCCAAAAUGUCACCAGGCUGGACCCUGUUUGUCCUGCUGCGUCAGUGCUUCACCCAACACCUCGUCUCAGCAGAAAGGGGUGUGGUCCUCAUUAGCAUAGGUGAGUUAGUUGCUUUUAGAUAUGUGGCUUUUGGUCAACAUCACGAUUGCAUCUACUUGGCACCUGCACUGGGAAGCACUGGAGCUGAUGCUGCUGAUCUCUACAACCUCUGCCUGCAGGUCUGGGCAGGAGGAGGAGGUGAGCUCAUGUCUGAGGAGACUGACCUGUCCCAGCAGUGAUGGCAUCUGAGGGGCAGAGUCCUCUCCUCCUCCAAAGCCACAGGAACAAGGGAGAACAUCUCUCAUUUGGUAACAACUCAACUACUCUGGAGUCAACCAUGAAGGUUGCAUGGAUGUGGGGUGAAGGGGAAGGCCUUGUUCACAAGAAUGAACAGAGGCAAGUCACAAACUACAACGCUUCUAUGCACGUGUUGUCCAAGACCUGGCAGCCAUGAAUGCUCCUGAAUAGAUGUGGAGCCAUAAUGAAUGCCUCGUGAAUGAGUAGAGAAAGAGGGGACAAGAUUAUUUAUUAAAAUAAACAACAACAACAAAAAAACCAUAACCAAAACAAAAAAAAAACAACCAACCAAAAAAAAAAUUUUUGAAAAAAACCAACCAAACAAACAAACCCCCCCCCCCAAAAAAACAAAACAAAACCAAAACAAACAAAAAAAACCCAAAGUGGGAUAUCAUGAUCAUGAACAAGCCAGGGGUGGGAAUGUGCAAUUUCUUAAACUGAUUUGAAGGACUCCAAUAUACCACAAAGACAAUGUUUUGGAAGUUAAAAUGUGACUUUCUUAGCAUCUCCUGAAACAGCAGUGUAGGACAAGACAUGAAGAAUAAUUUGUUCCAGAUUUCUCAGAAGAAAUUAUGGCAGCAUUUAACUCCCAGACAUCCCAGUCACAAACAGAAAUAAAAGCAGUUGCCGUUGUGUCUGCCUGCAGCAGAGGGGCUGCAUGGCUGGUGAGAUGUGAUGAAAGCUUCCCCAUGCCCCUACAGCAGCACCAGGGAAACAGUAACUUGCCACUCCCUAAGCAGGUCACUAUGGCAUGACACUUGUGUCACCCUGCCAUGCUGAAUUUUCUCCAAAACCUGUCCCAGCUUUGCAAAUUUAAUGGAUGCAGACUGAACACAGCUUAACACUACAUCUGCCACAUGCUCUGCACUCCUAACCCCACCAUCCCAUAAAAUCUCAGUAGAAAUGGCACCACGGCCCCAAAGGGUAAGAACAGUGCUGCUAUGGGAUUGACCCUGCUGUCAUGCCAAGACACAGUCAUGGGGUUAACUCACACCCCAAGGGCUCAAGGGCAGACUUAGAUCUUCCUCUGGGCAAUGUUCAUCACCUAAACUUAGUCCUCAAUUGGUUCCUGACCUACUUAAUACUACUGUGACUCAUGUGUUAGGGAGGUGAAUUGCUAUUUGCAAUUAAAUUGUAUUUGCAUUGAUAUUCCUAUCGUAAAGUCUGGGAGACUUGCAAGAAUAUUGAGUUUCAUCUCCCAGAUUCCCUUAUUGCUUCAGACUGAGGUGCAGGACUCUUCUAAAAAUAUGCAAAGUCCAGUAGUGGUGUUUCCUCUCUUACAACAAAACUUCUUUUUGAGUACAAAGUAGGAGGUUUUCAAAACUCUUCAAAAGGCUGAUAAUAGACUUCACUUUAUGUAUAUACACUUAAUAGGAAUGAUGACUAAAUGUGGUUAGGAGUGAAAUGUUACUCACUUUUAUUCUUUCUUUAACAGCUCCAUCCAAUUUUGUUUUUGCACCUAUGAAGUGUUAGGUCGGUUUGCCUCUGUACACCUGAAGAGCAUGGCCUGGAGUGGAGCACCUCUGUUUUCUGUCACGACAUUUAUUCUGCAUUCAUAUAUUUGCAGCAAAUAAGGAAAAAGAAUCAAAACCAACCCUGUGAUGGUUUUAUACUCUUCUCUGAUCAGAGAUGAGCAAGAGAAAACUGUUUCUCUUGAGAGAGAGAGGGGGAAGAAGGGGUUGAGCAGUUUCAAAACAAACUGGGCACAGCUGAUGUCAGAUUUUUGUCUUACAAUGGCAGCUAUUUGCUUUCCCAGCAAGCAGUAUAUGAAUCACUGGGCACUGCAUUGUUCCAAGAAUAGCAGAAGAUGCCACAUAUCUUAGGAGAGGAUAGAUUUUCUUACACCUUCUCAUUGGUUGGAAAC